CUGGGAGAGGAGCUUUUCUUUUGUGCGGCCUUUCUCCCCCAAGGACUGAUACUGUAGAGCUUGAACAAUGGGUUUUGGAUUGAAUGGAAUUUUCAUUCUGACUCUUUUACAAGGUGUCCAUUGUGAUGUUCAACUGGUAGAGUCUGGGGGUGAUGUGGGACAGCCUGGAGGAUCUCUUAGACUUUCCUGCAAAGCUUCUGGAUUCACUUUCAGCAGCUAUAGCAUGAACUGGGUCCGCCAGGCUCCAGGGAAGGGACUGGAGUGGGUCUCAUACAUUAAUAGUGAUGGAGGUACAAGCUAUGCAGACUCUGUGAAAGGUCGAUUCACCAUCUCCAGGGACAACAGCAACAGCAUGCUGCACCUGCAAAUGAAUUCUCUUAAAGCUGAGGACACAGCCAUGUAUUACUGUGCAAGAGACACAGUGAGAGAAAGGAGCAUGGAACCAGACAUAAAUCUCCUCAUUCAGAGAGGUCAUGUAGAUAAUGAUGUAGAGAAGGAACUCAAGAACACGGGGAACAAAGAGACCCCUUAUAAUAACAGGUGA